UUCGCACAUGGAAUGGUUCAAAUUGUGAAAGUUCGCUUUUUGGUCGCUCCAACGCUGCGAACAAUAAAGUUUUGGAUCUUCAAUUGAUUUCAUCAAUUCACUCUUAUCCUCUUUUUUUUAGAUCGCUGGUUCUAGCUUACACUGUAUGAUAUGAACCGCUCUAGAAAUUGGAAUGAGAUUCAAUUGGUGAAAGUGAGGAUCAAACUUGUAUGGCUACGGAGUUUUUAAUGGAGAGACACACCUUUAAGAAUCUAAAGGCCCCAUACAAUAGCG